GUGCAUAUAUGCACAUAUGACUUUCUUUUCCCUCCCUCUUUAUGUGUUGCUAUUGUUCAGAGGCAUUAUCAUCUUAGGUCAUUCUCGUUAGAAAUUGAAGAGCCCUAGCUGCCUGAAAAAAAUUGUCCUCAACUUCUUUUGAGCGUUAGGUAUGUGAAAUGGGCGACAUACAUUGAUUUGUUUCUUCUUCCAGAGUCGUCCCUCAGAGUUUAUAUCUACUUUAAGUGCCUCAUCUUGAUGUCUAGGGCCCCGUAUCAAGUAUAUGUGCAGAUAUGUCACCUUCAUUGAUAAUUUACCCAAAACAGCACCGAAGUUCCUGAUCCAUCCAAAUCUGGGACGUAAAAACUCACAAAUUUUAUUGAUGUUUUGCAUUGACAAUGAUCUCGAAUGCUUAGAAAUUACUAGAUUUUUUUUCCACAUCUCCAGGCAUUUUUUUAUCAAGAGAAAAGUGCAACAGCUUCUUGAUGUGGCGCACACCACUAUAAUGCAUAUGCAUGUACGAAAAUCCUAUUAAGGCGACGUUGCCCUUUAUUGCUUCUUAUUUCAUUAAACAAACAGUGCCUUUCUUGGUUCCAUAUGUACUUAAAAAGUGAAAUAAUGUGCCGAUCAGACAAGUUGUAAGUAUGUUGUUGCUAUCCUUUUUGACAGCACUCCAUAAUUCCCCGAGGGUGACCAUGAUUUCACUCCUAAUAUGAUUUCCAUUCUGUCAUCACUUCCUGUUUUUUUUUUUGUCCUCUACUUUUUAACAAUUUUGAACAAGUUUUUCGUCAAUGAAACAAAAACUCGGGAAUUACUUGAGAUCUCCUUGCCAUCUCUUGGUGAUACCUUCUUUGAGACUUCUCCAAAGAUACUCUGAGAAUGGACAUUAUUCUCUCUCCUAUCAAGUUUUCCGUUCCAAUUUUUGUCUACCACUUAUAGCCUAUUACAUUAGAUUAUAAAAUGGAAUAAACCAAACGAUUCCUGGGUCAUGUACAUUCCUCUUGAGGACUUAUUUUCCAUCUACUCUCCCAUAUCGUAAAGGCACAUAAACCCCAAUUGAAAAGCCUAUCAAAGAAACCUGAGAAAACACAUAAUCUCACUUGAUUGUCCAAAACCACAGAAUGAGCCGUGCUUAACCAAGGUAUGGCUCCACAUAAAGUUCCUUCACUUUGAAUAGAUUUACCUAAUCUGAAAUAGCCCACCUGAGAGAUACCAGAUACCCUGGCAGAUACUUUGUUUCCAAAGAUAAAAUACUCAUGCCAAGAAAAAUGGCACAUUGCCUACCAGAGAGUUAGUGCAAACAAACUUCCAAUAAUAAGGGCAUAAUGCCACCCAAUCUAACCGGAAUGUAUAUUAUAUUCAAACUAUCUUACAGUGAAUCGAUCACUACAUGUCAAUUAGUCUUUGAAAUAUAGAAAAAAACUAUACCUUUAAUGUCAAUAGUCUGACCAGAGUGUUUCAAUGAUAGAAGAUUAAUAUUCAUAAAUAGAACAAUGACAGAGACCGCAGUUCACAACCACAACAUCAGCACCCCUAAUCUAGCAGCGUAAGAUGGCUUGCUUUUGUAAAGCUUUUCCAACGAGAAUACGAAGGGGAGAGAGAGAGAGAGAGAGAGAGCGAGAGAGAGAGAGUAUGACUUAAUCUCAAGUAAUAAUAAGCACAACUCUAAAUUUUCUAGAGGGUCAAUUAUAGAAGAAUAAAACAACUAAAUAAAACGUGAAUAAGAUGUCUCAGGUACCUUGUGGCCAAAGAAAUGACCAGCUGGAUCACACUUGAAAAGCUGGGGUCCUUUUUCCUCAUCAAUACCCAAUACAAUCGCAACUUUACAUUUCAAAAGAAAAACAAGAAUAAAAUGGUGAGGCACAUAGAAAAUAGUGAAACGUUACUGAAAUAAUUCUUAUAAAAUGAAAUAAUUAAAGAUCCUAUUGAAAAUAGACCAAGUAGAUACAUUGACACUCUAUAACCUAAUUGACUGUGUAGAAAAAGAGAGAAAGGACUUACCCACUCCAAGAGGUCUCAUAUAUGCAUGUUGUGUAUACACCUGUGCUUGGUCUGCUAUCCUGUCAUUUCAUCAAAGGACAAUGGUAAGAAAGAAAAUCUCUAGAGCUUGCCAAGAUCACCACAAAGACAAAAUAUAGUUCAAGCUUUUACUCGAUAGAACUAUAACCAUGCAGGAAAGUUGAGAACUAUUUUCGUGUGUGGCAUUAAUGACUGCCUUUAUAAUAAUUUGAAAUGCGCCAUCACCCCUUAGUAUGGUCGCAGAGAACUAAUGCAACGACAAACAGGACUGAAAAAGUGAUGACCAAGAGCAUCAAGAACCAUGUUUUCUAUGGACAGACACCUAGCCUAUUUUCCAUGGAGGUUCAUCUGAAUAUAGCUGCACCUCCAUGAAACAGCCAUAUGCAUAGAUGUAAAAUAAAUAUAUAAAUAAGACAAAUUCUCGUUUGUGAUUUAUGAGCUUAUGCAGAACUAGCUUAAUAAAUAACUUGAAAUGGAAAUAAAAUGCAGCAAAUCUAAAAAACAGAAAGAACAGAAUAAUAUGAGAUGCAUGUGCUUACACGGAAAUUAUCUACAUAAAUAAAACGAAAUGGUAAAGACAAGCGCUCUGCAAACCGUAGCUCUAGAUUGCAUCUGUGAUUUGAAGGAUAUAGAUUACAGGGAAAACAAUAAAGCCAAACCAGGUGACCAUUUGAUAGAUUUAGCACUAUGCGACAAAAAAGACCAAAAAAAUAAUUCUAGGGACUAUUUUCAGACGAUUCAAAACUUCAAUAUGAACUAAUAACUAAGGUUUAGACCUUUCAUCAACAGAGACAUUUCAGAGAGGGUGAAUUCCAAUGAUCAUUUCUCAGAAACAUAAGCAGCCCCUCAAUUUUUAUUAUCUCUCCUUCGGCUAGAAGAUAUCAGUACAUGAUCUUUAACAUUAACUGGCACAUAAAAUUCAGUGAUGACCACAACUAUUGUGAUCAUUCAAAUUUCAGGUAGAAGUGGUAUCAUGAGCUCGUACUACUCCAAUUGCAAGGUCAGAAAAAGAAGUGAAUCAAAUUAUCAGUGAGUAUAAUAAAAAUAUAAAAAUAUGGAGGUUUUGGUUUCGUUAGACAAUCCAAUUUUUUUUCGGUUUAAACCUUAAAUUCCGGUCAAUGUUCAAACACUAAUCAUACAUAAAAUCGAUAGAUCGAUAUAUAUAUAUAUAUAUAUAUAUAUAUAGAUANNNNNNNNNNNNNNNNNNNNNNNNNNNNNNNNNNNNNNNNNNNNNNNNNNNNNNNNNNNNNNNNNNNNNNNNNNNAUAUAUAUAUAUAUAUAUAUAUAUAUAUAGAUAGAUAGAUAGAUAGAUAGAUAGAGAGAGAGAGAGAGAGCCCAAGCAGAUCAACUAGUGAAAUAAAUCUGCAAGCAAAUGCAUGAAAAAUGGAAAAUUUUUCUAGCUACAUAUGUACACACAGUAAUGGAUAUUGAGUCCACGGAUUACAUUUUCUAUUUCUUAAAUAAACCAACAUAGUGAAUGUUUAAUUACAUAACAAGACCAUGCAGAUAAAUUCCAUACCAUUUGGCCAAUACGUCAACAGGCAUUUCAUAGCCCCACUUAAAGCGAAACUCUGCUGCUUCAUUCCUUGCUUUUUGGACCAGAGACCUUGCAUCAGCUGGAUUGUUUCAAUUUCAAUGCAAUGUUAGUCCAUGGCAAAUGAAGGCUCAAACUAGUACAAAGAGACCACGUUUCUGAUGGAUUCACAGAAAUCGAGCUAUGAAUAAAGUUUAUCAGAGUAACGCUCUGUCCAAAUACGGAGAUGCUGACUGUUUAAGAUUAGAUCCUCACAAUUCCCAGGUUAUCAGAAUAUUUAGUGAACCAGACGGAAAGUGCAAAUAAAUUGCAUCUGAUGUUUUCGCGGGGGGGUCGGGGUAUUGCAGCCGUAACUGGUAGUAAAAUUUGAAUAGAGGAAAGACCUGUCAUCCCAGUUGCUAGCAGGCCGAGGUACUUCGUGAUUGGAAAAAGGUGACUCACGCUAGUCUGAUCCAAAAGCUUGUCCUGCAUUUAGUUUUCCCGUUGCCAGGAACCCAAUUAUUGAACGAGACAAAGAAAGGGAGGAUAGAAUACCACAUGCAAAGAGAACACCACAAGCAUUAGCCAGCUAAGAUUAACACUUACCGGGACCUUCUUCUGCGUUACGACACAGACGGAAUCCUUACCCCGGACAGCGAUCGACGUGAUCGCAGCUGCCUUCACCGCUUUGAAUGCAUACUCUGGCGAUGAACAGAACACGGAACUACCGCGUCAGGGAAGAGAAAAACCCUAACAUUCUCCCGGCAUGGGACAUGGAAAAAAAAACUUCCACGAUCCACCCCGUUUUAUCCAAAAAACAAGCGAAUUACAGAUUAAUUUCUACGGGAAACAAAGGAUCCAAGCGGGAAAUCAGAAGCACCCACCAACUUGAUAGAGGCGUCCCUCGGGGGAGAAGAUAGUGAUGUGCCGAUCGUAUCCGGCACCGGUUCCACGACUCAUCGCUCCUCUCCCUUCUCCACGGAUUACAGCUACGGCCGCUCCUUCUCUCCGCCCGAGCUGCAGGUACCUCGCCCGAACCCUCCCUCCGCUCCUACGACCCCGAAUGAAGACGCCGUUUAACAGUGAGCCCCUAACCAGACUUGAGCAACAAGAAGCUGCGACUCACACGUGAGACUCACACGUGUGAUCCCCCGGGGGGCAUGUCAGCCAGAAAACCUGUUUCUGGGGCUUUUGAGAAAAAUAAGAACAAAAUGAGGGUUCGCAACGUUAUUUUCCUGAAUUAAUUUUUCAUGCCAGUUCGCCUUAGACCGCAGUAAUCUCUUCUGAUCAAUUAUUAUUUUUUGGUCUGAUUUCUGUUUUCGUUUCUUGUUUUCUUGAUUUUUCCACAAGAUUAGUCUGGUUGGUUCUCUGCGCCCAGUUUGCCGGAGCCCUGGUGAACCUCGCCCGGCGGAGCCGACCGCCUGUGCCGUGGGUGUCCGCACGCGCCGCUUGUGCGCCCCAGUAUACCACGCCGUGACGCCACGCACUAUCGCACGCGCCGUGCCGACCUGUGUCCAUGCCGCGCCGUGCCGGUGCGCCCGACGCGCGCGCGAUCGCCCGGUGCGCCGUGCCGCUAUGUUUAGGCUGAUCCUCUUCUUCCGCGGGUCUCGCUUGAUGGGCGUUGCUAGAGCAUCUGCUUUGCUAUGCGUUAUUCAUGGUAGGAGACCCAGACACUCUAAUCGACGAACGAAGAGGAAUAGUAAUAAUUCGGCUAAUUUACGGGAGCUGGAACUUAGAAAUUCGUUUUAUCAUUCCUUGUAAAAGUUAUGUAUAAAUUUUGAAGACUUGAUGAAAGAGAAGAAAAAUUUCUGCUCAUUCCACUUCGAGAAACAGAGCCACUGGUUGGGGGUGAGAACCGGGGGGGAGGCGGUCAGGCUCUGAUCACCAGUUCAUACACGCUGCAGUAGUUCUCGCCGGGGACCCGCUUCAAGACCUCGAAGCUCCGGCGGCUCCCCAGGAAGUCGAUCCUCUUGACGGGCGGCGCGCGCGCGUCAGACGCAUCCUUGCUCGCGUAGAGGGAGCGGAGCGAGUCGGCGUGCUUGGAGUCGGUGUGGAUCGCCAGCGCCACCUCCUCGGCCGGCAUCUUCUCCUGCAGAUUGCGGGGGGGAGGCAAAGCCAUGGGAGACCAGACCGGGGGAGGAGACAGAAGGAGUCGCUCGGGCGGGUGAGAGGUACCUGGUAGAAGCUGUAGAUGAGGUCGAGGACCUGAAGACAGGUGAAGCCGCCGUCGCUGAAGAAUGUUCUUGAGGAAGGCCCCAGCUCACCGAAUCGAUCAACCGGGAAUAGUAUCGUGAGGAAGUGGGUCUUCAAGAUCACCACCCCUUUCUCGCUGAAGAAGGCGGAGCAUGUAAGAAUCGGAGGAACCCUAGAAAUCUUAGACCAAAAUGGGGGGGCCCGUGGAGUUGGGACCUUUCUUUAAGCGGCCGCGAGAGGUUGCUGAAUGAAGCGUCCAAGUCCAUCUUGUCUGAGAGCGCACUGACGAACUUGGUGUCGUUGAGGUGAUCUUCGGAGCCAGGGCGAUGAUCGGUGUAAAGGGAGGCCGAUGAAGUGGGCUCCGAGACGGACCAGCAUAUAGAAUCCAAGAGAUUGCCGGGAGUGAUUGGCUGAAUUAUAGUCUGAUAAGACUGAAAUAAAUAAAAUGAGCGAUUAAUCGGUGCCUCAGACGCUAAAGGGAUAAGAAUAUCCAUCAGAUGAGCAACUGGUAACCACCGUGUCAAAGAGAAAUCAGUAACAAAUCCAAAUUCUUUAAAAGUUUUUAAAAAUUAAAGCGAUCAACUAAAAUCAGCGCUAAAUUAGGUCGAUCAGUUCUAAAGUAAACGGUCCAACUCAGAUCAACUAGUAUGGGAAGGGUGGUAUUGUUUUUUUCUUUUGUUCUACAGGGUCUCUCGACAGCGAAAUUAUAAGGAUUUCAUUGGGCAUACCCACAUCAACCCAUCUUCCUCCCAGUCGGGUUGACCAAUACUCAUUAACUUCUCUGAGGAUCACGAUGGUUAAAGAAACAUGCACAGUGGCUCAAAAAUUAUAUUCCCGAUGAGUAUUUGAUUACCUGAAUACGACGAGAACGACGAUUCUGAAUACUAAUUUUAGCCAUCUCAACAAUUUUCUGUCUCUCUUCGAGGCUUUUGAUCGCGCUUGGAGAUAUUAAAGAUUCCCUUUUGCGAGCAGCUGCCUGAUGGGUGUUCUGCCCGUUGGCAUCCUGAAAAAUAUUAAAAAAAAAAUGAUAAUUCUGACUUACCAAUACCCACUACUGAAAAAGCAUAGACCUGGGAUGCAGAAUUUAUCUUCUUACACAAUACUCCAAUUUAAUAUGAUUUCAUGCACCAGUCUGCUAUGCGGACGGAUUACACCACGAGCAAAACUUAUCUAGCUCACGGGAAACUCUCACAAUCUGACGGAUAAAAGAAUGAGUUUUAUAACAGAUGAAAAUACCAUGAAGUUAAAACCCACAUUUCAAUCACGGGUAACAUUCAGUGCAUUACGAUUUAUUCUUUUUCCGAACGGAAAACUUUUUACAAAGAGAAAGUGUAUGCUUGAUAGAGAGGUAGCGUCAAGUUUAUCUGGAAUCCGGAGAAGUCCAAGUACCAAGGGAAACCAAGAAAUGAAAUGGAAAUGGCAUGAACAUCUUUACUGAAAGUCCGAAAAAAUUGAGGCGAGUGUACACAGACAUGGAUGGGAAAGUAGAGGAUACCUGUUCUGGAAAACUAGCUUGCACAUUUUCCAGGGUCAUUGCAACAUGCCUAGCAAGAUCACUGGACAAGUGAACAAGUCUCUGCACAUGUUUCUCCUUCACUGAUUUCAGAAUCCAAAGUGGCUGCAUCAGUCGGUAAUGAGACAAUGCGCCAAAGGUCAAUCAAACUGAAGCCGAUUGUGUGACUAAGCAUAUGUGGAUAAGCACCGAAUGCACAAGAACUUACGGUGACGAGAUUGUUCGCAUGCCCAAUAUAUCUCUGGACAUAGGGUCCUUCACACACUACAUGACUUGCUCGACAACCAACAAACCACUGAUCUGUACAUGUGGCUCCUUCUGCAAGAGCUGCAUCAACAACCUGAGAAAGUGUCAUGAAGAAGGCUUUAUCGGCAUACGGUCGGAAUAUGACAGUGGAAUCAGUGUGGAAGAUGAUGCGGGCGUAAAACGAAAUAUAAAUGAACGAGUGUCUGUUUCCAAGUGAAUUCAUGCCCUACCUUCUUCUUCAGCUCAUUCGAAACAUUUGGAUCAACGUGGAUGACCUUGUUCGAGAGAACAAGUCUUCUCCUUGUGGUCUCCUUUUCAGCUGCCUGUAGAUGAGGUUUCAAGGUUAUGUUGCUAUGGGUGCGACCAUCACGGGGAGGUGUGCAGGAUUUCUCAGAAACACCACAGCCAGCUAGCAAGUUCGACUCAUGCAAUGGCCGGCGAAUCUCUCCGACGCUCUUCACAUCAUAAAGAGCUUCACUCAUCCUCACUGCAGCAUUCGGCGAGAACCUAACUUCAGCAUUUAAGAUAUAGGCACAAAACUAUCUAGAAAAAAAAAAUUGGACGGAGAAAUGAUCAAGGAACCCGUAUGGAAAUGGGCGAGGAGAUGGGGAAAUCAACCAGGAGGAUGCAAACGACAACCAUUGCUCACCAUUCCUUCUGACGCUGUCGACGAACCAGCCCACUGUGACGACAAGGAGGCCGUUCUUCAACCCAUGCUUUACAGCAUGUUCAAACUUGCGUCCGCCAAAGCUGUAUCUUUUGAAGUUAAGAAGUAUCAUCUUCAACAGAGAACUUUUGCCAGGAUAUAAUUAAAUAAUAGCGCAGUAGGCAUACGUGAAGGAAGAAUCACGGGUUUUAUAAGAGCUGGUAGCCAAGAACGUAAACAAUUUUUAGCAGGAUAUCUGAACAACGAGAUGGGUGCACCCUGGAUGUAAGCUCGCGCUGUAUUGGCCGCCUAAUCUUUCUGUCGCCACCAUGACUUGCUUUCUCACUUCUGCCAAAAAAAUAAGCAUAUCGCAUUUGGUCAAAGACAUCCAGAUUUCAAAAAUAAGAAGGGGAGAUUCGAAUUGAGCAUGGUCUAAUCUCUGCUGUAAAAAUUUUUUGGAGAUAGUAAACAAGGAAAAAGUUAGAAAAUCUUAAAAAUUAGAAAAGCAGAUAUCGUGGCGAGAGAGCUGGAACCUUUGGACAACCCUGUUACGCAUAUGACAAGACCUGCAAAAGGCCCAGCAGUAGCAGUUCCCGGAGCCCCCGCACCAGCCUCGGCGAUAGCCAUGGAAGCCGGAGAUGUCAAGCUGGAGGGCCUCGGGGUGCUGAGGGGAGGAGAGGAGGGUGGAGGAGAACCAGGUGGGACGAUGAAGAGCCUCGAGCAUCCCUUGUUGUUGAUCACCUCCACUAGACCACCGCUGGCCAUUAGUUGAGAACCCUCGCCGAUGGCGAGCGAGAGGACCUUAACAGCGAGAACUUGAGGAAGCUUUGAAGGCCGAUUGAAUAACAGUCAUUGAUUUCUCGCGGAAGCACCACGAGAGCCCUCUGGAUACUAUGACGAAUCCAGCUAUUUCACUCCUCACCCAACGCUUGCUAGCGAUUCCAGAAAACUGCAGCCCAACACACCAUCCAAAAAUGGUCAGUCUGGUCUACAAUUAAAGGCAAAAAGAAUUGAGAGUGAAAUGGUGAAGAGAUCACAGGUACCGCGACAAGAGGACCAAAUGUAAAAUCCUCCCAAACAGAACGAAAACAACAUCGCAACACAGUAAUUCGGAAAAAUGAAGAGAAUCCGUGAACAAAGCAUCAAAAAUAGAUGUAGGAGACCCGUCCGACAAAGCAAGAGGAGCAGAAAAAAGAAAGAAGUGCGUAGUCAGACGUCUGAUGAAAACCACAAGAAUUAUAAUGUGUCGUACUAAAAGCGUCCCACCUGGCGGACGAAGAACUUCCCCUAACCAAAAACCGCUCGCUCUCAACGGAGGAGGAAUGAUCGACGUACCUGCAACUGAACGACGACGCUGCACCAGGGUCGCCCUGGAUAUAAUAAGACGGAGACGGGGGAAUCAAGCAAAACCGACGUAAUCGCCGAAGGUGGACGAACAGCGGCCACCAGACGCUUCGUCCGACGCAAGCAAUGGCAACCGCAAGAAGAAGAAGCGGAGGAAGAAGAAGGACAGCAAACCAGAGUAUAGUAUUGACUUGAAAAUGAUGGCGGUGAGAGCGAUGACGGCAACGCGCGACUCGCCGUCGCCGGCGGCAGCUUUCUCUGCCCCCCUCCCUGUUCCAGUCCCGACAGCCCCUCCCGUUAAAUAUGCACCGGUUUCUUCAAAACUACCAAAAUUGACAUCCGUUGAUGGGCGUGAUCCUUGAUCUAACGGCCAUAAUUCAAACAAGAGUGAGGGCACUAUCGUCAAACAAGAUCUCGGCCGAUGCCGCCGUUUGUGGUCACCUUCUGGGAUGAAGAGUCUGAAGGGGGGUCCAUACUACGAUUUAUGUGAAUGUACUGAAAAACCCCUACAUAUCCCCGCGAUCUGGCAAGAGUGAAUAAAGCCACGUGACCUACAUGGAAAUGCAAUUCCACUCAGUGCACGGGGGCAUUAAUGUCAUUAGGAUGAGUUCGAAAGCCACUGGACUGCAUUUUUAUUGCCGAUGACUAUAAGAAGCUCCAGUUGUAUUUUUAUUUGCGCAUGGACCCCUCUCUCUCUCUCUCUCUCUCUCUCUCUCUCUCUCUCUCNNNNNNNNNNNNNNNNNNNNUCUCUCUCUCUCUCUCUCUCUCUCUCUCUCUCUCUACAGGGAUGUAGAGAGAAGGGGUCAGCUGGGUAAGGCAUUUGGGGUUCCGAAGAACAAGUCUUUGCAUUCCAGACGCCAAAAAAACAGAAAACAAGAAAAAGAAGCACCUUUUUCCGCAGAAUUGAAGAAAAAAAGGCAGCAAAAUUUCCGGAAAUAGAAACAAAACACAACUUAUUCUCAAUCUCCGUCAUCCUCCCGCGCCUCCGGGCCUCCUCCAUCCUGAUCAUCUGAGAGAGAGAGAGAGAGAGAGAGAGAGAGAGAGAGCAUGGGGGGGCGGGGCAGGGAAGGGAACAGUACCUGAAAUGGCUACCAGGAGGACUUCUUGACCCCCAUGAGGGCUCCCUGGGAGGCCUUCUCGCGGAAGGUGAUGCGGGACAUGCGGAAGAGCCUGAGCACGGCGCGGGGGCGGCCGGUGGAGAUGCACCGGUUCCUCACCCGCACGAAGGAGCUGUUCCUCGGCAGCUUCGACAGCUUGCACCGGUGCCGAUCCCGCAGCUCCGCCGGCAGCUCCGGGUCCCGGCACACCGCCUUGUACAGCUUCCGCCUCAGCUCGUACUUCGCCGCCAGCAGCCGCCGCUUGUGGUCCAGUAUGUUCCGCUUCUCCAGCGUCUUACACAGCUCACCCCUCUUUUUUUUCCCCAAAAAAGAAUUUAAAAAAAAUGACCCAUUAAUGGGAACAAUUCAAGGACACACUCGUAAGUAUAUAUUAUUGAUUAAUUAAGAGUAAGAGAUGGAAGGGGGCAGCUGUACCUCAUGCUGGCAGGGGAACCGCUCGCUGGGCGGCGCGGCCGCCGCCAGGGCCGAUGCGUGCCUUCUGCUCAGAAGGAAGGGGCCCCCUACUCCCUGGGCCAUGCCAGUGGAGGCAGAUCCGAGAUGGGGCACAGAGAGCCACCGGCAUGGGGCAUGGCUCAUGCUGCUGGCAUCUCCUGCUCCGGCCUUCAGGGGAAGCAGAGGAGCAUGGAAGAAGAUGAGUCAAAGCAGUCAUCUGAGCGAGAUCCCUACCUCAUGCAUCCAUUACAAGCUUAAAUCCACAAGAGACAAGAUCGUACAGACAUGGGAUCACUCCAUCGCGAUGAGAUUUUCCAUCUCACUAAUCAUCCUCCACACACUUUACCCCUCUUGAAGGUAGAAGUGAGGAAGCUGAAUCUACCGUGGGUAAUUUCUAAGUAAGAUUUAGUGAAAUAUUUUCGUUCAAAUAGCUUUUUGGAGGAAAUAAUUACUUAAAGAAACAUACUGCUGCUUGAACACUGAUGAGACAGCUAUCAGCAUCACCAUUGAAGGGAGAUAGUGGAGAGGAGAUGAUUGAGAGAAUGCGGCACUGGCCAAGGGAAGCACCACCUCUCCCCUAAUGGUCUAUAAACAGAUGAUGACCGAGUGCCUUGCAGGGGUACUCAUAUUUUAAACCUCAGCAAGAUAAGCAAGAACAGGUCGUGGCAAGGAUUUCAAGUGGCUGAAAGGAUGAGUCACAAAGAAAGGAUUUUUCUCAGCAAAUAAAACGGAGUUCGAAAAAAAUUCUCAUUUGCAUCUAAAGAUGAUGUUUCCUACCAUGAUGUGGGAACAUUCGCCAAACAAAAAUCUUAUGAACACUAAGCAACUGUUACUAGGUUUCGGUAUUAAGAUGCUAGCCGAUCUAACAACACAAUUGCGGAUAUUAAAACGCUCUUGGUGAAGAACCCCUCAUUUAUCGUCCGAAUAAAGUUGGCAGAAACCCAAUUUCGCAGAAGGAAAAUCGGUUACAGAGAAAAAAACUGAUGAGCGGUAAUAGUUGGUCAACUUUUAGGGCUUGAUGAUCCAGACCAUGCCAACAGCCAACCAAAUCCGGAUAUGGAAUGGAUGGUACUAAUCGAUAAGGUGAUGAAUCCGCAGUUUAGGGAAUUAAAAUUACAAUUGCCACUAGACCAAUUCUUGGUCAAUUGCAUGGAUUUAAGAUGGAUAAUUGACCAGGGCAUGACAAAUCCACUGUGGCUUCUCGUUUAUGUUCCAUGUAAAAAAAUUGUUUGGGACAACUCACCCUACCCUACAACAUAGAUCCAACUACUUUUCUAACAAUUUUAUUCACACAAAGGGGUAUGGGAAUUAUUAAGCCAACAGAGAACCGAUGCAUAUCAAUGCCUCACUCCGGUCCCAGAACCAACAACAAAACUUCAAAGAAACAUACAACAGAGAGGAAUGAUUGUUGUUUUCAAGAUGCAGUUGAAGACUAUAAAGAGAGAACACGAGAUCGUUUCAGAAGGGGUUUCACAUAAACGAUCCAACCUGACCGUUUCCCAUUCAAUCUCCUUAUAAUGCUCCUCAUAACAAAACCAGAAGCAUUAUUGGCCUCCCCACGUCUUCCUCUGUAUUUUUUCUUCCUAUCAUAAAUCCAACAGUAACUAAACCCGAAAUAUGUUAGAAACAGACUAACUCUAGUCAGACGUUCCUUUCCGUUUUAAACAUUGGCUUCACCAGGUAAAAAGUCAAGUCAAGUAACAGAUACCCAUUACUCAUGCCCGCACAAGUCUCGUAUGCAAGUCGUGGUUGACUUAUAACAAACCAGAAAUUGAACAUAGCCUUUUUUUUGUGAUUUGUCUCCAUUCAGUCCAAAUUGUUCAUAGACAGUCCAGCGAUGACUAGAGAAUACUCAGAACUGCUCCGUAAACCUAGGGAAUAGCUGAAUAUUUCGAAUAAUCAAUGGAAAGUAAGCAUCCAACACUCCCUUGGGUUAUUUACAAGUGUCACAUUAACAUGUGGAAAUGUACUUUGUGUGAAGGAAGAUCACAUCAAAGGCCCGGCCCUUAUAAAAUCGCACGAUGAAUAAAACGGCGAGUGAAAGAUUGAAAACUUCGAUAUUGAGGAAAUCAUGCUAACUAAGCGGUUGGAUUUCAAGAAGGGAAUGAAGACUAAAAGGGAUACCGUUGAGACAAUGAUCCAUUGAUUGAGACUAGAAUAGAUGCAGGGAUAAAAAUGCCGACGAAACGCUUCCUGAAAUAGGAGAGAUAGACGUACGAAUGCAUGGGCGACGGUGAAAAUUGAUAAGCGGAAAGUUAAGCAUUGCAUCGAGGAGCUAAACACUUAAGACUGGCCGCCGUGUGAUUAAAUUUUCGCAAGUUAGCCGAUUCAACCCCACUGACAACGGACAAUACGGAACUAACGAGCUGCUGGAAGUCGAUAGAAAGAAUGGAUCAAGAUCCAUGAAUAAAUGACGUUUAAAUUUACUACGAAAUCAUCAAAUCCAGCGAAGCGAAGAGGAGGAUACCUGAUAUCCGUGGAUGUUAAGGCGCGGGAGCCGCGGCUGCUGCUGCUGCCAUUUCCCCACAGCCGACAAUGAACGAGACGCAAUCUUCCCCAGAAGACCCCUCACCAUUUCGGUAGCUCCAACGUCGCAGGAUCAGCUGAAAAAUCAAAGCAAUAAAAAAACGGCACGAUUAGGCUAAAUAGAAAAUCUAGGCACAUGAACGGAGGUCAGAAGAUCGGAUUCGGACUGGACCAGCGUUUCGACGGGAUGUCUCGACCGGAUGAUCUUGCGACGCGGGGGGGAGGUGAACCCCUUUCAAAACCCUAGAAAAUCCUUGGAAGCCAGCUCUGGUUUCUCCAUAUUCUCCCCCGCUUCCCUCCCCCCACGCACGCUCCCCAUCUCUGGACGGAGGGGGUGACUUUUCGCUGAAACCCUAAAUAUAUUUAAUUUUUAAAUUAUAACCUUUUUACUUAAAAAAUACAAUAUUGUCCAUUUUCGUCGAUGCCAGAGCGGGCUCUCCUGCGAAAACCCCCCAAUAUUUUUCAUAUAUAUGAAAAUGUCCAUUUUCAUGUGUUCAUUUCUCCUGAACGUUAAAAUAAUAAACAUAUUCGUAUAAAAUGCAAAUUAAAUUACCGCGAGGAAAUAGUUACGUUAAUUAUGAAAAUUUAUAUUUUAUGAAAAAUAUAAACCAUCCACAGAAGAUGCUUGAUAAAUAUAUUCGUUAAUAUAAAUGGGAAAUUUAUGGAAAAUAUAUAUUGUAAUGAUUUAUUUAAAUAUUUCUCUUAACAACGGAAAUAUAUUUCGUAAGCAGGCGGCACAGUAGACGCCUCUCCGGUGGUCUUCUUCCCUGUCACUCGCCGUCGUCUCCGCGGCGGAGGGGGGAGCAAAAGGCGGCGGAAGCCGAAGGGGCAGCGGCGGUAUUGGCGGCGACUGGCGGCGGCGGUCGGGGUGCUGGCGAAGGGCGAAAGGAGGGUGGUGUUUUCGAUCGUUGACGACGUCCAUUUUUGGAAUUCCCUUCUCCGGGAGGUCGGUUUCCGGGGAGUAGGCGGAGGAUUCCGGCGGGACUGCUCCUCCGGGGGUCUGUUUCAGAGGAUUUUUUUGAUUGCUCCGGCUGGAUCCGGGGCGAAGGAGACGCUUCAGUCUCGCCGACGGUUUACUGCUCCGGGCAAUUGGGCCUUAUCCGUCACUCAGUGACCAGUGGGAGGGACAUUUGGUCGGCGACAGCCGGUGCCGUCCGGAGCUCGAGGAAUAUCGGCGGCUGUCCAUGAGAUUUGACGCGGUUCUGGCUGGUCUCUCGGCGUAAAGUUGGCAUCCCGGAAGGGACGAUUAGGGUUAGGGUUCGAUGUCGUGGCCGGGUCAAGAGGACGUCUUCUUCUCCACUUCUCUUGCCAGCUACCUCGACAGUAAUGCCCUCCCUCUUCUUUCGUCUAUUUGAUCCUUCAAGAUCGCAAAUCUAUACUGCAUCCUUGUUCGAUUUGGUCGCAGAUCGGCCGAGAACUUGUUAUUAUCCUCCUCCACAUCAUUUAGUUUCAUACUCGUGUAGAUCCGAACCAGGAAGCCUCAGACAUAUCACCGUGUUUUUCCCCGGCACAUUAUUAUGAAAUGAAAUCUUGCAAAUGAUUUUUUCUUCUUCCAACAUAAUUUUUAGUUUUUACCUUGUCGAUAUUUUGUCCCCAAAGAUGACUGUGAUCACAUUCCAAGACGUCAAAGCUGCGAAGAAAGGACUUGCAGUAGAAGGCUUAUACCGUCUCCAACAUCUCAGGAUCCUUCGGAGAAAUCAGCCGUCAAGAAAACAGGAACAGAGAACGGCCACUGUUGCUAGCAGCUGAUGGCUCAUUUCCCCAUAUUUCAAUCUAUCUUAUCAGUCUUCCGCACGUUGAUGCCAGGUACAUGGCGAAAACGCCGACCAGACCUCCCCCAUUGAGCUAGGGCAAGGCCAUCAUGGUCUUGGGAAAUUCUCAGAUUCAGAUCAUGCCCAGCGAUCGAUGCAUAUGGAGUUCAAUCGAAUUUUCAAGCAUUUACUCAUAGAAAUCUUCCACCAGAAUGUUCCUCAGCAGCUCUUUUGUACAUGGUAUUCUUGUGGCAUUGAUGUUCUGUGUUGCAAAAAUGGCAUCACUGGAGUCUCUUUCUUCUUGAAAUGCUCUCCCUACCCAUAGAAACCAGCACGACCAGCAGUCUCUCGGAGAUCUGGGUGAGUUUAUUGAAUCAUCAACCAGCCAUGAGAUUGCUGGAGAGGCUUCGGUGCUGUCAGUUGCUUCCUGCAUUCUCUUACAUUCUUCCUGAAUCCGUUCCUAGAAAGCCCGUCGUCCCCUCUGGGUUCCUCUUGUUCAGUAGAUGCGCAGUCGAAAAUCUUGCUGACCCAAUGAGUUCCCUGGGAUUCUAUCCGGCUCACACUCGUAUGCCCAUAUGGAUAAAAGUCAACGAGUACAAGACAUCGCAAGGGCACUUUUGUAUUGGUAAUAGUCAAUGAUGAUCGAUACUGGCUGACCACUGGGUGGUCUUGACUUCCAUCACUCUGGUUUGUGUGUUGACCACUACACCUGAGAACUUAAAAAGUGAUCUCAUUAACACUUUGAAGUAUGCAUGAUCACGGUAUAUAAUAUCUAGCCAUUUUUUCCCAUGGUUGGUGGGUAUUUCAUCCCGUUUUGCACACAUGCCAUCAUUAUUGGAGCUCGGCACCUGCCUGUUUUAUCAUUUUUCUAUGCAUUUUUGUUACUAUUAUUUAUGAAAAGGUUUGACUUGUUUGGCAGAGAAACUUCUCGUCUUGCUGCGGGAUGGGCGGAAGCUUCUGGGCAUCCUCCGUUCCUUUGAUCAAUUCGGUACUCUCUCUCUCUCUCUCUCUCUCUCUCUCUCUCUCUCUCUCGAUGCCCACAUCCUCCUCUGUUUCUCCCCACCUGCUCAUGCAUCCGAACUCCCUGCCUUCCCCAGCAAACGUCGUCCUCGAGGGCGCCCACGAGAGGGUGAUCGUUGGGGAGCUCUACUGCGAUAUCGUACUGGGUCUCUAUGUGAUCCGGGGGGAAAACGUGGUCCUGAUCGGAGAAUUGGUAUCCAUUCUGUCUAUAAUCGUAUCUACAUGUUCCAUCUAUAUAUAUAUAUAUAUAUCACGGCAACCAUGAGGUAAUCUUUGCUUGUGAUUUUUGGGUUGCAGGACCCAGAGAGGGAGGAGCUCCCGGCCUCAAUGACUGCCGUCUCUGUUGCCGAAAUAAGAAGGGUGGGUGGGGCUCUUAGUAGCAUUUAGAACAGGAGGUCGCAGGUAUCUAAAGGCUCUGCUUCUUCCCCCUCGCAGGCCCAGAAAGCUGAGAAGGAAGCGUCGGAUCUCAAAGGAACCAUGAGAAAGCGGAUGGAGUUUCUCGACCUCGACUGACGAGUUCAUCCGACGAACCAUGCCCCCCUGGUCUCCUCCUCACAGACGAUUUCCGAUUCUUCUGAGAUUUCUCUCAAGUGUUAUAUUUUUAUUUUUUUUCCUUUCCCUGAAUCGAUCUUCUUUGAGAUUCGUCUCCGACAUGGUCUUCACCCACGGCGAUCUUCUGUAACAUGAACUCUCUUUGGCCGACUCAGUUUCUCCAUUGCCAACUCGGGUAAUCCUCCAUGACCGAGAGAAGAACAGGGGAGGAGCUCAAAUUAUUUAACCGGAAGCACAACUCGGAGUCAUAUGAUGAUUCGGCUCCUGAUCUUCAUGGAGCUCGAUGAGGCCAGCUCGCUCUGAAGCAGAGGAGCGCCCCUACUACGUGAGGUAGCGGAUGAAGGGUUCGGCCUGCGGGGAGGCGAGGGAGGCGGCCCCGGCGUAAGAGGCCAUCUCAAAGUCUUCGAACUGGAAGGCUGGGGCGCAGGUGCAGCCGACCAGAGAGUAAUGGCGCUCGGGGUCUCUCCGGGGGGCCAGGAGGAGCGAGUUCCCGUCGUAUGAUUCCAUGUCUUUGGUGGGGAAGGAGCCGAACCAUGUCAUCGGCGGCACGGUGUGCUGGGGGACCUGGCCAGACUCCAGGUCGGUGCCGAGGACGGUGAGCUUGGCCUCCCCAUUGUCUUGGAGCUCGAAGACCUGCUCGGGGGAGAUCAGAGGACGAGGCUGGGUGAGAUGGGUAUCCGCCAAAAAUGAGAUCUUGGACGAGAAGAAGAUGGGAGUGGAAGGUUCACCGUGAGAGGUUCGCCGGAGUAGAAGUGCCAGGUCUCCGCGCAGGGGAUGCGAUGGAGGUGCGAGACGUUCCCCGAUGGCAGCAGGAAGUAGAUCGAUGUGCUGAUGGGGCGGUCCACCUUGUCUGCGGGGGGGGGGGGGAGUCCGAUGGUGGAAGAAGGCCGAGCACGAAAUCAGAUGCCUCUAGGAUUAAGAAAUCUCCUGAUCAUUCAUCCAUCUAGCAUCAUCAUCUUCAUGGAGUGGCUUGUGAUGGUAAAAAAAAACCCUAGAUAAUGAAGAAGAUUCGCCAUCUCUCAUGGAGAUCUUUGCUAGAAUGCCCUUUUCUCAUGAAAUCAGACGCCAUUUUCUUAGCCACCGGCAGACCGCUGCCGGUCCUUUUCUUCAGUCGGCUAGCAAUUUGCAUGGCGCAAUCAUAGAACUCGAUUAGGGUCAGUUCUUUCUGAGACCGCAUUAAAUAGGUCUGACUCCCUGUUUCUGGCAUGGCAUUCGAGCACCAGAGCACUAGACCAAUCCAAAGGGGGGAAGGAAGCAUUAAGGCGGAGGGAGGGUAAGAAGGAGGAGGAGGAGGAGGAUGCCCUUUCUUACGCAGUAACUGUUUUUCACAAGCUAGGAAUCGCAUUCGAUCUAUAGCAGAACAAUUAGGCAGCCCCUGAAUGUUAAUGUAAUUAUAGAUGCUAAUUGUCAUGGAGGAGGUUUCCGAGUCUCAGAUUUCUCAUGUCGUAAGAGAGUUCNNNNNNNNNNNNNNNNNNNNGAACAUCAUUCUGGAACAGAGAUCCGAAGAGCUAUAAGCAAAAUCCGACGAGGAAUUCGACGAGGCGGCUAAUAAAUGCUGUAAAAUAAAAAGUGCGAUCAGAUGAAUCGGAACCAGAUCGGCAGGUUCGAUUAAGGACGGGACACGCACGUGAUCGAAGCUCGGAGAAAGAGGAGCCGUAUAACACGAAGAGGCCGGGGCGCUCGUAGAUCAGAUCGAUCCACAGACAGACAGAAAUACAAAAUCGCAUAAAUUUUGGGGCGGCGGGAAGAGUUCAGAGCACUCGUACACUGAGGCGGGAGCUGGGACUUGGUCAGGACGACGGAAUCAUCCCGGAAGGUCUCGGAGUAGAACCCCCCUUCCGGAUGCGCCUUGAGAUCCAGCAUAGCCACAACCUGCGAGGCGCUGCCGGGGACCAUCCUCUCCUCCCGGUUCGAGAUCUGGAUCUCCGCCGAGAGGAAGAGGGAGCAGGAGCAACUCCAUCGCCGGCAACCUUCUCUACCCUUAAAACCCUCCCCAUCUUUAUCGUCUUCCGCCAGUUCGUUAGAAGGAUGGGGACAUUUUAACUUAGCCCUCAGAUUAACAUUUUCUUAUAAAAAACACUCUUAACGUGGAAAUUUACAAAUCAACCAUUAUCGUAUAUAAAUUCUGGCCCAUCUCGGCCCAAUUAACUGGGCCCAGUUGAAAGCCGCCAGUUGGGUUCGAGGCUUUUUACUAUGUUUGGACUAUAAAAAUUAAUAAUCAGUCAAAUAUAUAAUUAUUAAAUAUCAUUAAAUGUUCAUCUUCAAUAUUAAAUUAAAUGUCCAUGUUUUCAUUCUGGACUGGGUCCACGUCACACUUGACUUUAGCGGAUGUUUGAAAAUCUCACGUCAGAUCUUCUCAGGCGUAUCCGGGCCCAUAUGCGACAAAAAGCCGAGCCGGCAGUGGAUAACACAGGCGCAGCGCUAGUCUCACAUCUCGAACAGAGAGAAAGUGGGGGAGAGAGAGAGAGAGAGACGCACACAGACACACAGACAAACAGGCAGAAAGGAUGUAGAGAGAGAGAGAGAGAGACGUACAAAGACACACAGACAAACAGGCAGAAAUGAUGUAGAGAGAGAGAGAGAAUCUAUUCUCUCACUUGCAGGGAGGGAGGGGGCUCCCGCAGAGGCACCGAUUGUGGAAGAACUCGUACUGGGUGAGGGUGGACAGGAAGCCGCCCCGAGGGAUCGGGCCGCAGAGGCGGUUGUAGCUGACGUUGAAGGAGCUCAGGUUCUUGAGCUUGGUCAGCUCCGGCGGGAUCUUCCCGUAGAUCCGGUUGUGGUUGAGGUCCAGGCCGCUGAUGUUGCGGAUGACCGCCGCCUUGGACAGGUCGAACUCCAGCUGGUUCCGGCUGAGGUCGAUGGACGUCCAUUUUCCGCUCCCCGCGAACAGCGCCGACGGGUCGCCGGUGAGCUGGUUCCUCGACAGAUCGAUCUGCGUGAUGUUCAGCCGCGCGAAGGACUGCGGGAUAGCGCCGGUGAGGUUGUUGUGGCUCAGCCGGAUGUAGAGGUCCGGCUGCGGGAGCUUGCCGAGGGCCUCGGGGAUGGGUCCGGAGAGCUGGUUCCGGUCGAGGAAGAGCGCCCCCAGCUGGGGGAGGUCGCCCAGGGAGGGCGGGAUAGCGCCGGAGAGCUUAUUGAAGGAGAGGUUGAUGUACUCGAGCUUGGCAAGGCGGCCGAGGAAGGCCGGGACGGGGCCGGUGAGGCCAUUCCAGUCCAUCCACAGCAUCUUCAGGCGGGUGAGCUUGGCGAGCUCCGGCGGGAAGGGCCCGGUGAGGUUGACGGAUUUGCGGAAGAUGAGUUUCUCCAGGUAGGGGAGGUCACCAAUGGACGGCGGGAGCUUGAUGGGCCCGGGGGUCUCCAUGCCGAGAAUGACAACGGCGGUGACGCGGCCGGUGGAAGGGUUGCACUCGGUGGCGUACCACUCGCCGCAGCAGUCGGUGCUGGCGGUCCAUGAGAUGAUAGUGUAGGGGUUGCCGAGGUCCUUCUGGAGCCGGAGCAGCGCGCGCUUGUCGGCGGCGUUGCAGACCGGCGCGGCGAGUGCCGCCCCGGCGAGGGAAGACACCAGCAGCGCCGCCAGCAGCGGCAGCCGGAGGAGGAGGGAAGGAGGAGCCAUGCUGCCUUCUGCCCUCCCCCCCCCCCCCCGGCUGAUAUUAUAGGUCGAGGGGAGGGGGGAGGCACUCGGUUNNNNNNNNNNNNNNNNNNNNNNNNNNNNNNNNNNNNNNNNNNNNNNNNNNNNNNNNNNNNNNNNNNNNNNNNNNNNNNNNNNNNNNNNNNNNNNNNNNNNNNNNNNNNNNNNNNNNNNNNNNNNNNNNNNNNNNNNNNNNNNNNNNNNNNNNNNNNNNNNNNNNNNNNNNNNNNNNNNNNNNNNNNNNNNNNNNNNNNNNNNNNNNNNNNNNNNNNNNNNNNNNNNNNNNNNNNNNNNNNNNNNNNNNNNNNNNNNNNNNNNNNNNNNNNNNNNNNNNNNNNNNNNNNNNNNNNNNNNNNNNNNNNNNNNNNNNNNNNNNNNNNNNNNNNNNNNNNNNNNNNNNNNNNNNNNNNNNNNNNNNNNNNNNNNNNNNNNNNNNNNNNNNNNNNNNNNNNNNNNNNNNNNNNNNNNNNNNNNNNNNNNNNNNNNNNNNNNNNNNNNNNNNNNNNNNNNNNNNNNNNNNNNNNNNNNNNNNNNNNNNNNNNNNNNNNNNNNNNNNNNNNNNNNNNNNNNNNNNNNNNNNNNNNNNNNNNNNNNNNNNNNNNNNNNNNNNNNNNNNNNNNNNNNNNNNNNNNNNNNNNNNNNNNNNNNNNNNNNNNNNNNNNNNNNNNNNNNNNNNNNNNNNNNNNNNNNNNNNNNNNNNNNNNNNNNNNNNNNNNNNNNNNNNNNNNNNNNNNNNNNNNNNNNNNNNNNNNNNNNNNNNNNNNNNNNNNNNNNNNNNNNNNNNNNNNNNNNNNNNNNNNNNNNNNNNNNNNNNNNNNNNNNNNNNNNNNNNNNNNNNNNNNNNNNNNNNNNNNNNNNNNNNNNNNNNNNNNNNNNNNNNNNNNNNNNNNNNNNNNNNNNNNNNNNNNNNNNNNNNNNNNNNNNNNNNNNNNNNNNNNNNNNNNNNNNNNGAGAGAGAGAGAGAUGUGGACGCGGCGGCUGGGCUUUUUGACUUCACUGUACAUUCGGCAAAUUAUUUUGACGGGGAAGAUCGCGGGGGUGUCUAGCAUUCACCGUACAGCUGGAAAACAGGGAGCUUCUCACUAUGAACACAGAGAGAGGACAAUCUGGUCCUAGUUGAGGAAGAACCCUAAUCCGGAGCAUCAGAUGGGCACGGCCAUGGCGGGGGCUGGUGACCCUUAUUCUAAACAUAACGCGUUCGACAGAGCGGAGAGCCCG
rnacentral:lncRNA from 1 species